rnacentral:rRNA from 1 species
GAACUGAAGAGUUUGAUCAUGGCUCAGAUUGAACGCUGGCGGCAGGCCUAACACAUGCAAGUCGAGCGGUAGAGAGAAGCUUGCUUCUCUUGAGAGCGGCGGACGGGUGAGUAAUACCUAGGAAUCUGCCUGAUAGUGGGGGAUAACGUUCGGAAACGGACGCUAAUACCGCAUACGUCCUACGGGAGAAAGCAGGGGACCUUCGGGCCUUGCGCUAUCAGAUGAGCCUAGGUCGGAUUAGCUAGUUGGUGAGGUAAUGGCUCACCAAGGCUACGAUCCGUAACUGGUCUGAGAGGAUGAUCAGUCACACUGGAACUGAGACACGGUCCAGACUCCUACGGGAGGCAGCAGUGGGGAAUAUUGGACAAUGGGCGAAAGCCUGAUCCAGCCAUGCCGCGUGUGUGAAGAAGGUCUUCGGAUUGUAAAGCACUUUAAGUUGGGAGGAAGGGCAUUAACCUAAUACGUUGGUGUCUUGACGUUACCGACAGAAUAAGCACCGGCUAACUCUGUGCCAGCAGCCGCGGUAAUACAGAGGGUGCAAGCGUUAAUCGGAAUUACUGGGCGUAAAGCGCGCGUAGGUGGUUCGUUAAGUUGGAUGUGAAAUCCCCGGGCUCAACCUGGGAACUGCAUCCAAAACUGGCAAGCUAGAGUAUGGUAGAGGGUAGUGGAAUUUCCUGUGUAGCGGUGAAAUGCGUAGAUAUAGGAAGGAACACCAGUGGCGAAGGCGACUACCUGGACUGAUACUGACACUGAGGUGCGAAAGCGUGGGAAGCAC